UACGUAGGGUGCAAGCGUUGUCCGGAAUUAUUGGGCGUAAAGAGCUCGUAGGCGGUCUGUCGCGUCGGAUGUGAAAACCCAGGGCUCAACCCUGGGCCUGCAUUCGAUACGGGCAGACUAGAGUUCGGUAGGGGAGACUGGAAUUCCUGGUGUAGCGGUGAGAUGCGCAGAUAUCAGGAGGAACACCGGUGGCGAAGGCGGGUCUCUGGGCCGAAACUGACGCUGAGGAGCGAAAGCGUGGGGAGCAAACAGG
rnacentral:rRNA from 1 species